GCCCAUAUUAAUUAGGUGUAAAAUCGCCCUCCUAAGGGGAAGGUUGGCCGUUCGAACCGGCCCUGGGACACCA
rnacentral:tRNA from 1 species